rnacentral:rRNA from 1 species
AAUGAACGUUGGCGGCGUGGAUUAGGCAUGCAAGUCGUGCGGGAGUAGCAAUACUCCAGCGGCGAAAGGGAUAGGAACACGUGGGUAACGUACCCCUGAACCCGGGAUAGCUACGGGAAACUGUAGGUAAUACCGGAUAAUGUCUGCGGACCAAAGGUGUGAUUCCGUUCAGGGAGCGGCCCGCGUCCUAUUAGCUAGUUGGCAGGGUAACGGCCUACCAAGGCAAAGAUGGGUAGCGGGUGUGAGAGCAUGACCCGCAUCACUGGGACUGGGAUACUGCCCAGACACCUACGGGUGGCUGCAGUCGAGGAUCUUCGGCAGUGGGCGCAAGCCUGACCGAGCGACGCCGCGUGCGGGAUGAAGGCCUUCGGGUUGUAAACCGCUGUCGUAGUGGAGGAAAUAUCAGGGGGUUCUCCCCUUGGUUUGACUGAUACUAGGAGGAAGGGUGGGCUAAGCUCGUGCCAGCCGCCGCCGUAAAAC